AUUUAUUAGGUUGAUGCAAAAACCAUCACAGCUUUUGCCAUUACUUUUAAACGGCAAAAACUGCAAUCACUUUUGCACCAACCCAAUA
ensembl:miRNA